UAGGGAAUAUUGCACAAUGGGGGAAACCCUGAUGCAGCGACGCCGCGUGAGUGAUGAAGGCCUUCGGGUCGUAAAGCUCUGUCGUAUGGGACUAACACAAUGAAGGUACCAUGCAAGAAAGGAUCGGCUAACUUCGUGCCAGCAGCCGCGGUAAGACGAGGGAUCCUAGCGUUGUUCGGAAUUAUUGGGCGUAAAGCGGGUGUAGGCGGAUUUAUAAGUCAGGUGUGAAAUCCCAGGGCUCAACCCUGGAAGUGCACUUGAUACUGUAGAUCUUGAGUGUGGUAGAGGUUACUGGAAUUCCUGGUGUAGUGGUAAAAUACGUAGAUAUUAGGAAGAACACCAGUGGCGAAGGCGGCUCACUGGCCCGAUACUGACGCUGAGGUGCGAAAGCGUGGGGAGCAAACAGGAUUAGAUACCCCCGUAGUCCCUGAGCGGGCUGGCAAGGCGCAU
rnacentral:rRNA from 1 species